rnacentral:lncRNA from 10 species
CAAUCACAUGAUCUCAACCUAACUGCAAGGGAUGCUGGGCAAUGUAGUCCAGUCAUGUGGCUAGCAGGAAAAUGCAGGGGGCUUGGUGAAAAUUUGCUCUAGGUCCCAGACUUGGCAAAUGAUACAAGAUUUAACUCACACAGUCCGGCUUCCAAGCCCACACUCUUAACCACUGUACUCUCAGUCAGGGAUUGAGUGGGCAAGCACUGUGGGCUGCAGACACCAAGCUCCACCAUGAUUCCCCCUCCACUCUCAGAGGCUCCAUCCAGCUGGCAGGCUCACAGCACUGCAGCCCAGCAUCUGAAGUGGUACUGUCCCUAGGCUGAUGACUGUCACAUUUUUAGUGGGGCCAAAACUUUCCUCCAAGAUUCAGAUGUGUGUCACCAACUAGAGAGCAGGCUUGGAAUUUAAAA